GACGAACGCUGGCGGCGCGUCUUAACAUGCAAGUCGAACGAUCUGUAGCAAUACAGGGAGUGGCGGACGGGUGAGGAACACGUAGGAAUCUACCUUGAAGAGCGGGACAACUUUGGGAAACCGGGCGUAAUACCGCAUAGUACAGAGAUGUUAAAGGGCUAGCAAUAGUCGCUUCGAGAUGAGCCUGCGGUCUAUCAGCUUGUUGGUGAGGUAAUGGCUCACCAAGGCUACGACGGAUAGCCGGUCUGAGAGGAUGAUCGGCCACACUGGCACUGAGACACGGGCCAGACUCCUACGGGAGGCAGCAGUUAAGAAUCUUGCGCAAUGGGGGAAACCCGUGACGCAGCGACGCCGCGUGAAGGAUGAAGGCUUCGGUUGUAAACUUACGGUAGACUGGAAGAAGAAAUACGUUCGUUGAGGGCGGUAUAGUGACGGUAACCAGUCUGAAGA
rnacentral:rRNA from 1 species